rnacentral:rRNA from 1 species
UACGGAGGGUGCGAGCGUUAAUCGGAAUCACUGGGCGUAAAGCGCGCGUAGGCGGCUUUUCAAGUCAGGGGUGAAAUCCCACGGCCCAACCGUAGAACUGCCUUUGAAACUGUAGAGCUUGAGUGUCGGAGAGGGUGGCGGAAUUCCAGGUGUAGGAGUGAAAUCCGUAGAUAUCUGGAGGAACACCGGUGGCGAAGGCGGCCACCUGGACGACAACUGACGCUGAGGUGCGAAAGCGUGGGUAGCAAACAGG